AGGACGAACGCUGGCGGCGUGCUUAACACAUGCAAGUCGAGCGAGAACCAGGGCUUGCCCUGGGGACAGCGGCGAACGGGUGCGUAACACGUGAGCAACCUGCCCCAAAGACCGGGACAACCCGAGGAAACUCGGACUAAUACCGGAUGCCCUCACCGGGUCGCAUGGUCUGAUGAGGAAAUGGAUUCCGCUUUGGGAUGGGCUCGCGGUCUAUCAGCUUGUUGGUGGGGUAACGGCCUACCAAGGCGACGACGGAUAGCUGGUCUGAGAGGACGAUCAGCCACACUGGGACUGAGACACGGCCCAGACUCCUACGGGAGGCAGCAGUGGGGAAUCUUGCGCAAUGGGGGAAACCCUGACGCAGCGACGCCGCGUGCGGGAUGAAGGCCUUCGGGUUGUAAACCGCUUUCAGCAGGGACGAAAGUUGACGGUACCUGCAGAGAAGGCCCGGCAACUACGUGCCAGCAGCCGC
rnacentral:rRNA from 1 species